rnacentral:misc_RNA from 1 species
UCUUCGUUGGUGAACCAGCGGAGGGAUCAUUACAGGACUCGCAAGACUCCUACAACCCUGUGAACUUAACUAUAAGCACGUUGCUUCGGCGGGUGUCUCGGAGGGGGUUCUCCCUCCCCGAGACGCUAAACCCGCCGGCAGCCUACUAUACUCUGUCUCUUUGCGUUGGCAUCUCGAGUACAAUCAAACAAGUUAAAACUUUCAACAACGGAUCUCUUGGUUCUG